CUUGCGGCGGGGAGGUCAAAGGUCAGAGGUAAAGAAGUCAUGGCGGCUCUGUGUCGGACCCGUGCUGUGGCUGCCGAGAGCCAUUUUCUGCGAGUGUUUCUCUUCCCCAGGCCCUUUCGGGGCGUAGGCACUGAGAGUGGAUCCGAAAGUGGUAGUUCCAAUGCCAAGGAGCCUAAGACGCGCGUAGGCGGUUUCGCGAGCGCGUUGGAGCGGCACUCGGAGCUUCUGCAGAAGGUGGAGCCCGGGCGGGGUUCUCCAAAAAAUGUGGAAUCCUUUGCAUCUAUGCUGAGACGUUCUCCUCUUACACAGAUGGGACCUGCAAAGGAUAAACUGGUCAUUGGACGGAUCUUUCAUAUUGUGGGGAAUGAUCUUUACAUAGAUUUUGGUGGAAAGUUUCAUUGUGUAUGUAGAAGACCAGAAGUGGAUGGAGAGAAAACAAAAGCUGCCAGACUUCAGUUUUCAUUUAAUUGGUCAGACCUAUGCAACAUAUCUAGCCUCUCCCUAACUGCAGGGAAGGCUCUGAAAACCAGCGUUUAACUUUUUCAUUGUGGCUGCUUCAGAGGAGAAGGGGACUGGGAAUAUAACUCUUGUGUCACCUAGCCAGUGGGUUCUGCUGCUGUGCCUGAGCUCCCACCACUAUUAAGUGGCAAAGCUGGAAUUCUAACUCAGAUGUCUCUUCCUCCAAAGGCCUAAUUCUCCAAUUCUGCCUCUCAAAGAAUAAAGGCUCCCAUAUUAUAAAGAUUUGAAUGAACAUUAUCCAGCAUCUACAGAUAGGCAGAGUCUUGCUCUAUUGCCCAGGCUGGAGUGCAGUAGCAUGACCACAGCUCACUGAAGCCUCAACCUCCCAGGCUCAAGUGAUUCUCCAACCUCAGCCCUCCAAGUAGCUGGGACUACAGGUGCAUGCCACCACACCUGGCUAAUUUUUGUACAUUUUUCUGUAGAGAUGGCAGGGGGGUCUCACUACAUUGCCCAGGCUGAUGUUGAAAUCCUGGGCUCAGCCCGUCCUCUUGUCUUGACAUCCCAAAGUGCUGGGAUUACACGUGUGAGCUACUGUUGCCCAGCCUUAUUUAUUUGAAAUUACUUGAAAUUUAUUUUGGAAUUAAGUCAGGACUCCUACUGCCCUCCAUAAUAAUAAUAAAAAAUGUAAUAUUUGUGAACUAAUAUUCAUUUAUUGAGCUUUUAUUACCUUAUUUUGUUGACUGUAAGACAAACUUUUUUUUGUAUUUUAGCCUGCCCUACCUCUUUGAAAUUACUUUUGGCCAGGUGACACUUAGGAUGUAGUUUGUCAUUGCCUGCCCAUAUCUGAAGUUAGUCAUGGUUGUUUAUAUUAUCUUCAUUUCUUAUGAUCUUUGUCCUUGAAAAACUGCACAUCAUAAUUUAUUGGGCCAUUUUCAGCUUUUUUUAAAAAUAUGAAACAGAAUAGAAAAUAUUAGGCUGUACCAAAAUAGCAAGACUAAUGCUUUUGGGAAACAUUUCAUUUUUUUUUUUUUUUUGGUGUUUUGUUUUGUUUUGUUUUGUUUUUGAGACAGAGUCUCACUCUGUCGCCCAGGCUGGAGUGUAGUGGCGAAAUCUCGGCUCACUGCAAGCUCCGCCUCUCGGGUUCACGCCAUUCUCCUUGCCUCAGCCUCCCGAGUAGCUGGGACUACAGGUGCCCACCACCACACCCGGCUAAUUUUUUGUAUUUUUUAGUAGAGACCAUGUGUCACCAUAUUAGCCAGGAUGGUCUCGAUCUCCUGACCUUGUGAUCCACCCGCCUUGGCCUCCCAAAGUUCUGAGAUUACAGGUGUGAGCCACCACACCCAGCCUCAUUUGUUUAUAUGUAUAUGUAUAGAAAGAUUUAUAUGAGGGUGCUAAUUUUGAUGUAAACUGUUCUUUCUUUGGUGUACUGUCAAAAAGUUCAUCAGCCACCAUUAUCUGGAGAUUAGUAAAGCUAAAGGCAAUUCCGGAAGAUUUUAACUACCACUGAAAAGAAAGGGCAAAUCGACUGGUGCUGAAAAUGUGAUAAAAAUUCAGAUUUCUAGGCCAGGUGCAGUGGCUCAUGCUUAUAAUCCCAAUACUUUGGGAGGCCGAGGAUCAUUCGAGGUCAGGAGUUUGAGAUCAGCCUGGGCAACAUAGCAAGACCCUUAUCUCUAAAAAAUAAUAAAAUAAGAAGUUUAGAUUUCUAUGCACCACCUACUUGUAUCUUCUUAGACUCUUCACUUUCUCUUUCUUUUUUUUUUUUUUUUUUAUUAAUUUAUUCCUGGCCCUUUUCUGUGAGAACUCGUUUUCUUUCUGUUUCUAUUCACACUUUCCUCUUGCCCACUUGUCUACCUGCUGCUGUUCCAAAGUUCUAGAGUCUCUGAUUGGCAGAAACACCCAUGGGAGUUGCUGAUACUUGGCCAAAUUUUCUUUUAAUGUCGACUUUACACUUACUACUUGUCCCAACCUUCCUUUGUAGAAAGCACACCCUAGCUGGGCGUGGUGUUGCAGGCCUGUAGUUGUAGCUACUCGGGAGACUGAGGUGGGAAGAUCUGUUGAGGCCAGGAAUUUGAGGCUAUAAUGUGCUGGCUUUUUAAUUUCAUUAUUUAUUUACUUGGAGAUGGGGGUGUGUCUUCAUAUGUUGCCCAGGCUGUGCUCAAGGGAUUCUCCCACCUCAGCCUCCUGAGUAGCUAGGACUUCAGGCACAUACCACUGCUCCUGGCUGAGGGUAUGGUGUGGUAUGAUCAAACCUGUAAAUACCUACUGCACUCCAGCCUGUGCAACACAGUGAGAUCCCAACUCUAAAUAUAUGUAUAUGUAUAUACACACACACACACACACACACACACACACUCUCUCUCUCUCUCUCUCACUGUGUUGAGAGUCCAACUCUAAAUGUAUAUAUGUGAAGCUUAUCCAGUAAAUGGAAACAGAACCCCUUGACAUCCAGAACGUACAGUUGACUGCAUUGUGUAUAAAAUUGUUGUUCCCCAAAUUGCUUACCCUAAGCCCAUUUGGACGAUAAUUCUUUGCUGUAUGGUUAUAGUGGCUAGCUUUCAUUUUCUGUUCCGAACCACUAUACUGCAUUUACUUUGCCUUGUUGAAUACCUAUCAAUUUUGUAUCUUAAAAAUGUUUGUUUUCCUUCCAAUGACUGAAAGUAUGUAAAAAUCACCUGGCAAUAGAUUUUAAUUUGGUUUUUGAGAGCAUUCGAUCAAUUUGUCCUUUUUAAUUUAUAUUUAAGAUCUCCCAAUAUUUUGAAUGUUUGACAUUUAUCUAUAGCCCUUGUGUGAUAUUUUGAUAUGAUUUCAGCAAUAAAGGAAGUAUUCACUGUACUGUAAUCCUUUGUAAAAUA